ACAAGGGAUCGCCACCCAGCUCAGCUCUUUCAUCCGAGAGACAUUCAUGUGGUUCGAGGAGAGACGGUCUUCCUAGUUCGUUCGGCGGCGGCUGGGACGGUCCUCCAAGCUCGGGUUGGUCGAGACCGAGAUGGCGGCUCGUCACAUGGACGUAAGCGAGACGGUACCUCGUCGUUCAACCGUGACGGAACGCAGCGAAGUGAACGCCGAAACGCUGGAGAACCAACCAAGGAAAGACCAAAGUUAUCUCUGAAACCCCGAAAUUUCCCAAUGGAAGAGAGUCCCCACAGCGGCGUAAAGUGGCCAACAAUUCACACGGCGAAGAAUGCUUAAAAGUGACAAGGGAUGAAAGACGGCCAUCUUUUCCGUUCAUAGGAAACACGAUGUUUCGAAAAUUUUGGAGGAGCGGAAACCGCCUCUUCGUGGACGUGAAACUCAUCACCAAGAUGAUAGAAAUCAACGGGAUAAUCCCCAUGACAGUGGUGGCCGUUCUUCUGAACAUCCCAGUGGAGGGCGCGGGCGUUCUAACAAGGGAGAGAAGACGGACGAUCGACGAAACUAUCGCAAUGACAAUCAAGAUCUUUGGCGCCCAGCACGUGAUGGUACUGGCUACUCUGGCGAUUCGCGACAGGCGCCUAAAGAUGAAGAAUAUCGGCCGCCGCACAGGUCGACCGCCGAUCCUAACGAAUACCGUCCGCUAGCCGGAGGCUGAGGGAAGCAGCGGUGGAGGAAAUUAUUAUCGUCCUCCUCGACCCACUGGUUGAACCAAUGGUCAUGACGGAGAUCGCAAUUACUGAGGACCUUCUCCCGCUAGAGAUGGCGACUAUCGUCCACCUCGAGGCGAUAAUUCACGCAAUACGCAAAGAGAAUGGAUUGUCUUGUGGUGGUGGAGCUGGAAUUUACCGCGCUUCCGCCUCGCGUGGAACUGGGCCCAGCAAUGAAAGGUUUCUAUUCGUUUAGACUGAAGGACGCGCAGUCGUGACGAUCACAGCGGAGACAGACGCCGCUCGGCGUCUACUUCUUCUGCAUCCAGCGUGAAUGAAGUUCGAAGAUUGGAAGAGCCCAAAGCGCCCCAACAAGUUUGCAAACCUUCUGGCCGAGGAUGAAGGUGCCGACGGAUCAGACAGCCGAGAUGAACUGAGAAAAGUAAAGGAAGAUGCAAAGUGUUAAGGACCAAAAGGUAGACAGCGAUGGGUGGCUUAAAUACUUCGUUUAUGGUAAUAAUCUCGCUUGCAGGUGCAUCGAAACAUGCUACUGCUGCGUGUCGGGUUAUCGGUUAUCGGCGUUGGAGAUUAAUCGUGCAGCAUGCAGCUGUAUCUUUCGGUUAUGGGUGUCGAAAGCGCUCGUCGAUCUGAUGGGUAAAUGCCUAACAUAUUUGGAAUCAUCGGAAUUUAUGUUGAAUUUCAGCCGCAUAUUUCCUCAAAUAAUUAGGGGGUAAAAUGACGGGGAUUUUGAACAUUCAUCCCUCGCGCAUUUGGAUUCGAAACGAUAAGUGACGUCUUUUUACACAAAUUACGACGAAUAAGAUCAAGUAGAAAAUAAUUUUAAUGUGUUGUAGUGGGAAAAUGCAUAUUCAAAGUCUUUGAAAUCAAUUUCAAAAUCUACCUGUGAAUGUAUGGACAGCGGGAGAUGGAUCGAAUAUUGUUUCAGCCAUUAGUCUGGGAAAAUAGGCAAACAGCCGCUAGAAGUUUAUAUUUUUUUGUUUAGUUUUCUCUCCUUUUUUUCCAAAUUUAUCGAGAUCAAACUCGUGAUAGAUGGGGGGAAACCGAUCGAUGUCUCCCACCCACAGCAACUUCUCUCUUAUAAUCACCUUUUUUUCUUUGAACGGGAAGGACUCGGUUUGAUCAAAAGUGAAUUUGGGUAAAUUCACACACAAAUAUAAUGAGAUCGUUUCCCGGGAUCUAACGCUUGGACACUUAUUAAUUCCCCUUAUCCCCCCCCUUUGUAGCCAUGUUAUUGGUCUUUACACAACGACAGUAAACAAUUGUGCAUUUAAUCCUAUAGACUAUAGUGUAGUUUAGUUUUCUUUAAGAUUUUAUUCCUUUAUACAACUGCGAAAAGUCACACUUCACGCAAUUCUCUAACGCCAUCUUUGUUCGUUUUUAGGAGCCUUCAAUCACCAGUGCUUUAACCCGCCCGGAAACAAACUACCAAAUAGGAGAAAAAUUAAUACGAAAAGGCGAUUCAAGUCUUUAAUAUGAGCAUGAGCAGAAAACCUGGUUGCACUCCGCAAGAAGGAUCGCAGAGAUCAAGAUGUCCAAGGUGGCUCGGGCCGCUAAACCAAGCAUCGGUUAAUACGAGACUAGUGACUUGGAAACAAUUUUAGUACAAAUUUUUACGCUUUUCUUAUGCUAAGAUGUCAAUUUUUUACGAAUAUCAGCCACUAAUGGUCGUUUUCUCCAUUAAAACUGCUAAGAUUGGUAGGGUGGUGGAUUUCGUUUACUUGGGUACCUUUUAUCUUCCAUUUUAACCAGGUCGUUUGCCGACGUGGAAAAUAGCAAACUGUCAAAUCCAUUACGGUAUGCACUAUUUGAUCGAAUUUCUCAAUUACUGGAUCUACAUUUUGUCCGUAUUUAUUGGCUCCUGGUGUAUGGCAAGAUGUUCAGCUGCUAAGUUAUGGCGCGCUAUAGAAGAUAUGCUUGCACAUCCCGUUAUUGUCUCCCGAGGAUACGGCUCACUGCCGCAAUACUUCCGCGUCCAGUGCGUCUUCCGCUGCCUCGUAGCAUUAUUGCUGAACUUGAUUUUAUUUGCAUUCCAAAGUCUCAGCAGCAUUCAGCUGAAACUGAAUUGCUGCCCUCAGUAUCCUCCGUCAACAAAUGCAGCUGUCGUCUGCAAUUAUCAACGCCAAUUUUGCAUCGCCUGCCGAUCAGUCGAGAAACUCUGAUGCUGCACUUUUGGCUUCGUCCUCUUUGCCACCGUUUCCUACACAUUCAUCGGCUUUGUUAACGCGUCCUACAAUCUGCUGAAAUCCAAAAUCCUGCCAUAAUUCCCCGCAGGGAUCGGAUGGCGAGGAAGAUCCCUAC